GUGGUGCAGCUCUGCGACUUCAAGGUUGAGUUUUCCAUCUGUCGGUGCAGCUCUGCCACUUCAAGGUUGAGUUUCCAUCGAUGACAUCGCCGAGUUCCUGGUGUUCCCAACUGAUAACUUGCUGCUGCUCCGGCUCUCGGCAGCAUCACGGCGGCGCAGUUGGUCAACCAGGGUAUGCCCACCCCUUCCCUGCUCUCCUUCUGUGCAAAAGCAGACACCUAAGCAUCAUAUGUAAUGCGGGCAACAUCUUUGACAAAAUGUCUCUGUUCUUUUUUUCCUUGCGUGACAGAACAUGACAGGUUAAGUAAAACUUUAUACUAAAACUGAGAACAUGACAAAAUGUCUUCCCAUGCAUAGCAUAAGUGAGUCUGUUCCUCUUUGCUGUCUUGAUCAAUACACCAGCAGUGAAGGAGCCUGAGGAAUAAAGAUUAAUAAACUGAAAAUUCCAAGUACAACCCCUACAGUAGGUAUGCAAUUUGAACAAAGGUAAUAGAGUAAUAUGUGCUUGACUGAUAGUUCCAUAUUUAAGUUUAGUAAGAAGCCUGUUGAAGAAUCUCCAAACAUCAAAACAUGCAUUAGGUGGAGUUCACUGCAAUAAGAAACAAAUCACACUCAGAUUAGCAAUGCACAUAAGAGUUUCACGGAUGUACGAUUUAGCAUUCUAUGACAACAUGUGCAACAAGCUUGUUAUGAGUCAUUCAAAACCAUACUUGGGUUAAAAAAAGAAGUACGAUACUUAGUAAUUUAUCAUGUGUGUGAGUUGAAUGAGGUCUCGAUCAUACUAAAGAGUUAUUGUUUUAGCCCUCAUCUGAUGCUAGCCACAGCAUAUCUGAGAGAGCCUGCAUGUUUAGUAUCUUGUGAAACAACAGUUGUAGCUCUUUGACCAUCGGCAAGGCUUCUUUGUUCUUUCUCAUAGUUCAGAGGUUGCAUUAUGUCCAGAACAUGUCAUUUUCAGAUAUAGCAAGCUACUGCUCCAUUUUCAGAAAACUGCUCCAUGGUAGUUGUUGGAAGAUGAAGGCCUAUCAUACACGAUGUAAUACCGUAGUGAAGUCUCGACUAUUCUAUGGUCAGAUCAUUUAGAUGCCACAUCUCCUUCCCAAAUAUGGACUACCAAG
rnacentral:lncRNA from 1 species